CAGCAGCCGCGGUAAUACGAAGGGUGCAAGCGUUAAUCGGAAUUACUGGGCGUAAAGCGUGCGUAGGCGGUUUGCUAAGUCUGUUGUGAAAUCCCCGGGCUCAACCUGGGAAUGGCAAUGGAUACUGGCAAGCUAGAGUGUGUCAGAGGAUGGUGGAAUUCCCGGUGUAGCGGUGAAAUGCGUAGAGAUCGGGAGGAACAUCAGUGGCGAAGGCGGCCAUCUGGGACAACACUGACGCUGAGGCACGAAAGCGUGGGGAGCAAACAGGAUUAGAUACCCGGGUAGUCCCUGUCUCUUAUAA
rnacentral:rRNA from 1 species